UUUUUGAUUUUUUUUAAAUCCAAUUUUUGAGCUAGAAUGCUCAUCUUCGAACUCGAUCUGUCUUUUUAAAAACGACCUGAAAAUCCCAGGUCGCUCACUCAAUUCGUUCUCGAGUUAUCGUGCGGACAGACAGACAGACACACAUACAGACAGACAGAAAAAGUUUUUUCCGACCAGACGGAGUAAUAGGUUUCGCUAAUCGCUCAGCCAAUUACCCUUCAAGACAAUAAAAAAACAUUAAAAAAAAUAGAGUGUACAUCAAAUUUCUAAUAACUGAACAUUAAUUAUAUAUAGGAUGACACUGGUAAAGCUCUAAACAAUGAGAUGGCAGAAAGUAAGGUAAUGAACGUUAAAAUAUGAAAAAAAUGUGGUAAUUUAUUGAAAUUUAACAUACUUUCCAUUGUACUAUUUAGAUGGUACUGACUGGACUAAAGCUCUCCAUAUCUCUGAGGAUCAAUGUGACAGAUAGACAAACACCUUCAAAUCACCACAGGGCUAUCAACACCAUGGUGAGCUUCAGCUAGGGAUGAGAAGAAACUGAAGCAGCCAGCAUGGCUGACCACACUCAAUCUUCCUGGACGGUGCCCGGUUGACUUUAAUUUGAAGAGUUGACAAUAACCUGUAUUCUGGAGCUGUGGUCCUGCACAUCAGAUUAAAACAGUAUCAUCAAUGCCAUUCAACUUGGGAUGAGAAGAAACUGCAGCUGCCCUCGUGGUUCUCCAUACUCAAUCUGGAUGGACUGGAUUAUCAUUUCAAGAUUCAAUAGAAUAGAAUAGCUCUGAAACAAAGUGUAUAAAUAUUAUAUGAAAUAAAUCAGAUUUAUAUUGCAUAGUUAUAGUUACCAACUACAGUUACCUGAUGAAACCUGCUGAGAUAAAGUUGUUUUAUUUUAUAAAAGAACGGGUAGUAGCAGUCCUACCAGUUAUCUUAAAGUCUCCAUUAGACGCCAUGCUUUUAAUGCAAAAUCACUUAUUAAUCUGUGUUGCAAAGUCAGACAUGUGAC